rnacentral:lncRNA from 1 species
AAAACAUCACAAACUGUUUGAUACAUUAAAUAUCCAAAAAUAUCACAAACUGUUUAAUACAAAAGGUAUCUAACAAAAUGAUAUAUAGUAGUAUAAAUACUAUCAUAACAAAAUGAAAGCUUAAAUUGCUUCACGGACAUUUCUUCAAUUUGAACUUCUCAUGUGCAUUCAGCUUUACUUGCGCUUAACCUGUACAAAAGAGUAUACAAAAUUAAAAUUUGAUUUGUAAAGUUAUAAAAUAUAGUAAGAAAAUUUAAAAGAAAAAUUAGUAUUUUGUGCAUACAUAGGUAUAUGGC